rnacentral:rRNA from 1 species
UACGGAGGGUGCAAGCGUUAUUCGGAAUUACUGGGCGUAAAGGGUGCGUAGGCGGCUUUUUAAGUCAGCGGUGAAAUUUUGCAGCUUAACUGUAACAGUGCCGUUGAUACUGGGAGCUAGGAUUUGGUUGCUGUGGGUGGAAUGUGUGGUGUAGCGGUGAAAUGCUUAGAGAUCACACAGAAUAUCGAUUGCGAAGGCAGCUCACAAAGCCAAGAUUGACGCUGAGGCACGAAAGUGUGGGGAUCAAACAGGAUUA